GAUGAACGCUAGCGGCGUGCCUAAUACAUGCAAGUCGAGCGAACAGACGAGGAGCUUGCUCCUCUGACGUUAGCGGCGGACAGGUGAGUAACACGUGGAUAACCUACCUAUAAGACUGGGAUAACUUCGGGAAACCGGAGCUAAUACCGGAUAAUAUAUUGAACCGCAUGGUUCAAUAGUGAAAGACGGUUUUGCUGUCACUUAUAGAUGGAUCCGCGCCGCAUUAGCUAGUUGGUAAGGUAACGGCUUACCAAGGCGACGAUGCGUAGCCGACCUGAGAGGGUGAUCGGCCACACUGGAACUGAGACACGGUCCAGACUCCUACGGGAGGCAGCAGUAGGGAAUCUUCCGCAAUGGGCGAAAGCCUGACGGAGCAACGCCGCGUGAGUGAUGAAGGUCUUCGGAUCGUAAAACUCUGUUAUUAGGGAAGAACAAAUGUGUAAGUAACUAUGCACGUCUUGACGGUACCUAAUCAGAAAGCCACGGCUAACUACGUG
rnacentral:rRNA from 1 species